AACAAACACACACAUCUUCCUCUCUGCUUUUCUUUUGUUUUCGGUCUCUCCCCUCCAGCACCAGUCUCCCAUGUUCCACCUCAGACUGGUCACGUCUUCCUCAGCGAGAUAAACGAAAAAGAAUGAGAGAGAAAAAAAAGGAGGCCCUGGUGUCGCUGUUGCCCUUUGGCUUGUCUCCUCUUUCUCAGCUUUUUCAAACAUUGGCAGACGACCCCAGACAAGACUGGCACAAUAACAAGGGGAUGUGUUUACGCGCUCACAGUGGGGAAUGUUUACAGAGCAGCCAUACAGUCAUUUUUCUCUGCUGAGUUCCUGUUGACCAAAUUUAGUUUCUCGCGUGUCUUCCUCUGUGCACACAGAAGCUAAUUCGGUGUCUGUGCUGUUUAUGGUGAAAAGAGAAACGCGUCCAUUAUGAAAAGUGUCAGUCUAAAAUAACAUAUGCGCCACAAUGCACGGCCCCCUGAACUCAUCACACUUUAACAGGGACAAGGGUGUAGUUUUACGUACUGUGUCACUUUGCUGUUUUUUUACAAUCCAACAAAAGCAUUUACAGGAGCAAACGGGUGAGAAAGUAUGCAAGCGUGAGUGUAGAUGGUGAAGAAGGAACUGCAAAGUCGAUGACCACCUGUGUACUUGGUGUCACUUUUAGGCGUCGAGAUCAUCACACCAGAGAAAGUGAGAAACGGCCAUGAGUUCCUCUUUGCUGCUUUAAACUAUUGAAAACAAGAAGUUUUGUUUAUCUUGAGCGUGGAUUGCAAGGAUUUUUCCCGGAACAGAAACACUCACUCUACACCUGCACCGUGUAGGUGAGCAUUUGGUAUGUAAGUACCAACAACAUCUGAAAGGUGAAACUGUACAUUGUGACAAACAAAACACUUGUGCAGCCCUUCCUUUGCCGUGCAUGAACUAGAGUGGCCUUCACAGAAUGGAUGUGGUUCCCCUUUAAAGCAUGUGACAUCUACUCUUGAGACUGCGCAGUGGAAAGAACAGAGAUCUAUCUAUCUGUCUAUCUGUCUGUCUGUCUGUCAUCCAGUUAAUCCUCGCUGCCAACAUUGCUGCAAGUGAGAAGAGAAAGGAUAUCAGAUUCCACCAUUCAGACGUGUCAUCAGGGAUCGUGAGUGUCCGAGUCCAAGCCUGGUUCACAGAAACAGUGGCGAGCCUGACGAUCUCGGUGUUGACGUCGUGUCAGUAGUUCAUACGAAACACAACCUGAACUGGUCCUUUACAGAGAGACCGCGUCCUGUUCACACUCACACUGCGACUGCUGCAACAUCGACCUGUGGCGUAACAAGAUGAUGUCGCAGUCACUUCUCAAUGAUGCAACCUCCAUUAAAGACGACGUGUUUCAACCACACUG